rnacentral:pre_miRNA from 1 species
GGAAUAUAAGAAAUUGUCUCUUAACUUUUAACUAAAAAAACUAAGAACUGGUUCUUAAAUAAGAUAUUUAAGAACCGGUUCUUAGUUUUUUAGUUAAAAGUUAAGAGACGGUUUCUUAUAUUCC